YAUUCCUACGGGAGGCAGCAGCAGGGAAUAUUGCGCAAUGAGCGAAAGCUUGACGCAGCGACACCGCGUGUGGGAUGACGGAUCUAGGUUUGUAAACCACUUUCAGGAGGGAAGAAAAUGACGGUACCUCCACAAGAAGCCCCGGCCAACUACGUGCCAGCAGCCGCGGUAAUACGUAGGGGGCGAGCGUUGUCCGGAUUUAUUGGGCGUAAAGAGCUCGUAGGCGGUUCAACAAGUCGGUCGUGAAAGUUCAGGGCUCAACCCUGAAAUGUCGAUCGAUACUGUUGUGACUAGGAUACGGUAGAGGUGAGUGGAAUUCCGAGUGUAGCGGUGAAAUGCGUAGAUAUUCGGAGGAGCACCAAUUGCGAAGGCAGCUCACUGGGCCGCUAUCGACGCUGAGGAGCGAAAGCUAGGGGAGCAAACAGGAUUAGAUACCCUGGUAGUCCUAGCUGUAAACGAUGGAUACUAGACGUAGGAAUUGGAUUAACGAUUUCUGUGUCGUAGCUAACGCGUUAAGUAUCCUGCCUGGGGAGUACGGUCGCAAGACUAAAACUCCAAGGAAUUGACGGAAUCUC
rnacentral:rRNA from 1 species